GGGGGGGGUGAUGGCAUACCAUCUUUCGGGACUGACCCCGGAAUUUCAACUUUUUUUACUCAUCACAC
rnacentral:snoRNA from 1 species